GACACGAUGGCCGAGUGGUCUAAGGCGGUAGAUUUAAGUGCUCCAUUCGGAAAUCUCAAAUCUCUACUGGGGAAACCCGCGUGAGUUCGAACCUCACUCGUGUCA